rnacentral:rRNA from 1 species
GACGAACGCUGGCGGCGUGCCUAAUACAUGCAAGUAGGACGCAGUUGCGAACGGGUGAGUAACGCGUAGGUAACUACCUAUUAGAGGGGGAUAACUAUUGGAAACGAUAGCUAAUACCGCAUACUAGUAGAUGGACCUGCGUUGUAUUGGCUAGUAGGUAGGGUAAUGGCCUACCUAGGCAAAGAUACAUAGCCGAGCUUGGUAGGGUAUAGGGCAACAUGGGACUGUGACAACGCCCAGACGCCUACGGGAGGCAGCAGUAGGGAAUCGUCGGCAAUGGGGGGAACCCUGACCGAGCAACGCCGCGUGAGUGAAGAAGGUUUUCGGAUCGUAAAGCUCUGUUGUUAAGGAAGCGGUACUUAACCAGAAAGGGACGGCUAACUACGUGCCAGCAGCCGCGGUAAUUC